CGUGGGGCGUGCGGCUUCUACUGCGGCUGCGCAAACUUAGCGAGCGGUUGCCGGUCUCCUCCCAAAGGCUCCUCCCUACAGUCAAUUUCCCUCGGGGCAUAAGUGCAGCCUACGCUUUCUGUGGCACCAUUCUCCUGAAUUUGAGGUCUGUCAUUCUAUGCAUUCUAGAUACCUCAACCAGGUGGUGGGACAGGCAGGCACCGUACUGGAGACUUGCUACAGUGAUCACCUUCUGAGUCACUGGGACAGACAAGAUCUGGAUAGGACAGUGUGUGCAGCACCUGGUCUCCUGCUGAGACGCAGCAAGUAUCAGUGUGGACCAGGAAUUUAUUCAAAUGGGAUGGAGGAAUAAUUUGGAUGUAAAUCCAGCAGAAGACCCUUGCUUUUCAGGCUGCAGACAUUACAGCUUUCUGAGGGAGCGGAGGGGGCUUGUCCUUCAGAUGCAGGAGGAAGGGGCACUAGUCACAGCUGAGGUGAGGGUCCAUGUGCAUCUCACAGGUAUGGGGGUGCUGGGCUUGUGGGAACCUGGCAACAGAUUCUGAUAGAAGUGGCUUUAGAGGCCUGGAGAUGGG